AGGGCCCUACGGGGGGCAGCAGUGGGGAAUAUUGGACAAUGGGGGAAACCCUGAUCCAGCGACGCCGCGUGAGUGAAGAAGUAUUUCGGUACGUAAAGCUCUAUCAGCAGGAAAGAAAAUGACGGUACCUGACUAAGAAGCCCCGGCUAACUACGUGCCAGCAGCCGCGGUAAUACGUAGGGGGCAAGCGUUAUCCGGAUUUACUGGGUGUAAAGGGAGCGUAGACGGCGAUGCAAGUCUGAAGUGAAAGCCCGGGGCUCAACCCCGGGACUGCUUUGGAAACUGUAUGGCUGGAGUGCUGGAGG
rnacentral:rRNA from 1 species